rnacentral:rRNA from 1 species
AGUGAACGCUGGCGGUAGGCCUAACACAUGCAAGUCGAACGGCAGCACAGUAAGAGCUUGCUCUUACGGGUGGCGAGUGGCGGACGGGUGAGGAGUACAUCGGAAUCUACUUUUUCGUGGGGGAUAACGUAGGGAAACUUACGCUAAUACCGCAUACGACCUACGGGUGAAAGCAGGGGAUCUUCGGACCUUGCGCGAUUGAAUGAGCCGAUGUCGGAUUAGCUAGUUGGCGGGGUAAAGGCCCACCAAGGCGACGAUCCGUAGCUGGUCUGAGAGGAUGAUCAGCCACACUGGAACUGAGACCCGGUCCAGACUCCUACGGGAGGCAGCAGUGGGGAAUAUUGGACAAAGGGCGCAAGCCUGAUCCAGCCAUACCGCGUGGGUGAAGAAGGCCUUCGGGUUGUAAAGCCCUUUUGUUGGGAAAGAAAAGCAGCAGGUUAAUACCCCGCUGUUCUGACGGUACCCAAAGAAUAAGCACCGGCUAACUUCGUG